rnacentral:rRNA from 1 species
UACGGAGGGAGCUAGCGUUGUUCGGAAUUACUGGGCGUAAAGCGCACGUAGGCGGCUACUCAAGUCAGAGGUGAAAGCCCGGGGCUCAACCCCGGAACUGCCUUUGAAACUAGGUAGCUAGAAUCCUGGAGAGGUCAGUGGAAUUCCGAGUGUAGAGGUGAAAUUCGUAGAUAUUCGGAAGAACACCAGUGGCGAAGGCGACUGACUGGACAGGUAUUGACGCUGAGGUGCGAAAGCGUGGGGAGCAACAGG